GACGAACGCUGGCGGCGUGCCUAAUACAUGCAAGUCGAACGAGAUCCAUGGGAGCUUGCUCCCGGAAGAUCUAGUGGCGAACGGGUGAGUAACACGUGAGAAACCUGCCCUGGAGUGGGGAAUAACUCGGGGAAACUCGAGCUAAUACCGCAUACCCUCGGAUGGUCGCAUGGCCGACCGAGGAAAGAUUUAUCGCUCUAGGAGGGUCUCGCGGCCUAUCAGCUAGUUGGUGGGGUAACGGCCUACCAAGGCAACGACGGGUAGCUGGUUUGAGAGAACGAUCAGCCACACUGGGACUGAGACACGGCCCAGACUCCUACGGGAGGCAGCAGUGGGGAAUCUUGCGCAAUGGGCGAAAGCCUGACGCAGCAACGCCGCGUGCGGGAUGACGGCC
rnacentral:rRNA from 1 species